UGUAUGUGUGGGCAGAUUAGAGGUGGUAGAUGUUAGCCAGUUGGGCGAUUUUAUUUGCCCAUUGCUGGGUCAGGGUUAGAUUUUAUACGUCUAGACUCUAGACGGGAGACUUUGGCCCUAUCUAAUCAGAGUUGCCCUUAACAACCUGACGUGUCUUGCCGACGUGUUUGAUAUUGUAUAGUAUCUGUCCGAAUCUCUAUCCAAUCACAUGUGAAGCACCUGCUAAUUACGGCUUUAUCAGACAAGCGGUUAUUACAAAACUGGACAGUUGCGUACUUCGAACAAUGGAUGGGGCCAUUACCCAGUUAAACACGUGAACCUAUGGUCGAGCAACAGCUUACAAAUCAUACGAUGCUUAGGGGAAAUGAGCUCGAAAAAGGCGAUUAGAUGUCGGUCAGUGGCGUCAGCAAGGGGGUUCUCAUAAAGGGCUCCUUACAAUGAUACAUAACUCAUUGAUCACAACAUAUGUAUACAUAUUUACAUAUGUACAUUACUUUUCAAUUUGCUUGUAUUUAUGAGUUUUGUGUCAAUGCACAGUUCAAAAUGUUUAUAUACAUACAUAUUGCAUGUAUUAUAAAUACUCGUUUACGUUAAGGGAAGGCAAUAAAAAGACACAACUUAAAAUUGUGUACAUAUGUAUUUAUACCCCGCCAGAAGGAAGUCCCAUAGUAUAUGUACAUACAUAUGUACAGUCCCUUCUUCAAAUUUGUUCUACAGACGCCUCUUAUUUUUAACAGAUUAAGUGGAAAGCAGAAUUUCGCGUUCACACACACAAAUGUACAUGUGUUUGUAAAGCAAGAACAGUUGAUCACACGCCAAAGCUUUUAACAUGGCGAAAGAAGAAAGGGCCAGAGACAGUGAGAGAGGGGGAGAGAAAAACCUAAUGCCGCGAGCAUGUCAACAAAACAGCUGACUGUUUUUGGAGCCGGUAAAACCGGUAAAAACCGACCACAGGCCACCAACAGACAGCAAACAUGGGAAUGCAAAGUCAACAAACAUUGACCAUUUAUCAGAGAAAGCGUGGGAGCUUACACGAGAGCGAAAAAGAGCGGCAGUAAGCUCAAAGAGCAAGAUGAAGCGAGAGUAGUUUUCCUUUUGUUAUUGUUGCGGGCCGUUAUCACGUUGCAAGAGCGUGAUGCUUCAGUUAGAUAUUGAACGCAGAAAAAAAUAGUGCGCGUUCUUAAGUUCAGAUAAAGAGCUGACAAUAGACAAAACUAAUGAAACUUUUCUAUUUCGAAUUAUAGUUAUGGAAGUUCGAAUAUAAAUAAACGACUACAUUAUGUUGUAAUAAUACUUAAUAAGUUAGUAUUUUUGUUGACAAUCAAGUAAUCACAUGCUAUCAUAUGAUGCAAUUGAAAUAAAAAUGGUAAUGUAAUGCAUAAUACACAAUGGUAAAUAAAUGUAGCUACCUUACG